AAUGGGCGAAAGCCUGACGGAGCAAUGCCGCGUGAGGGAUGAAGGCCUCUGGGCUGUAAACCUCUUUUAUCAAGGAAGAAGAUCUGACGGUACUUGAUGAAUAAGCCACGGCUAAUUCCGUGCCAGCAGCAGCGGUAAUACGGGAGUGGCAAGCGUUAUCCGGAAUUAUUGGGCGUAAAGCGUCCGCAGGCGGCCCUUCAAGUCUGCUGCUAAAAAGUGGAGCUUAACUCCAUCAUGGCAGUGGAAACUGUUGGGCUUGAGUGUGGUAGGGGCAGAGGGAAUUCCCGGUGUAGCGGUGAAAUGCGUAGAUAUCGGGAAGAACACCAGUGGCGAAGGCGCUCUGCUGGGCCAUCACUGACGCUCAUGGACGAAAGCCAGGGGAGCGAAAGGGAUU
rnacentral:rRNA from 1 species